rnacentral:rRNA from 1 species
AGAGUUUGAUCCUGGCUCAGAGCGAACGCUGGCGGCAGGCCUAACACAUGCAAGUCGAGCGGCCGUAGCAAUACGGCAGCGGCAGACGGGAGAGUAACACGUGGGAACGCGCCCUUCGGUUCGGAAUAACUCAGGGAAACUUGGGCUAAUACCGAAUACGCCCUUACGGGGAAAGAUUUAUCGCCGAAGGAACGGCCCGCGUCCGAUUAGCUUGUUGGUGAGGUAACGGCUCACCAAGGCGACGAUCGGUAGCUGGUCUGAGAGGAUGACCAGCCUCACUGGGACUGAGACACGGCCCAGACUCCUACGGGAGGCAGCAGUGGGGAAUAUUGGACAAUGGGCGCAAGCCUGAUCCAGCCAUGCCGCGUGGGUGAUGAAGGCCCUAGGGUUGUAAAGCCCUUUCGGCGGGGAAGAUAAUGACGGUACCCGCAGAAGAAGCCCCGGCUAACUUCGUGCCAGCAGCCGCGGUAAUACGAAGGGGGCUAGCGUUGCUCGGAAUUACUGGGCGUAAAGCGCACGUAGGCGGCUUCUUAAGUCGGUGGUGAAAUCCUGGAGCUCAACUCCAGAACUGCCUUCGAUACU